rnacentral:rRNA from 1 species
GAUGAACGCUAGCGGGAGGCCUAACACAUGCCAGCCGAGCGGUAGAGUUUCUUCGGAAACUUGAGAGCGGCGCACGGGUGCGUAACACGUGUGCAACCUACCUUUAUCUGGGGGAUAGCCUUUCGAAAGGAAGAUUAAUACCCCAUAAUAUAAUGAUUGGCAUCAAUUAUUAUUGAAAACUCCGGUGGAUAGAGAUGGGCACGCGCAAGAUUAGAUAGUUGGUGAGGUAACGGCUCACCAAGUCAAUGAUCUUUAGGGGUCCUGAGAGGGAGAUCCCCCACACUGGUACUGAGACACGGACCAGACUCCUACGGGAGGCAGCAGUGAGGAAUAGUGGACAAUGGGUGAGAGCCUGAUCCAGCCAUCCCGCGUGAAGGAUGACGGUCCUAUGGAUUGUAAACUUCUUUUGUACAGGGAUAAACCUACCCUCGUGAGGGUAGCUGAAGGUACUGUACGAAUAAGCACCGGCUAACUCCGUG